rnacentral:rRNA from 1 species
ACAUGCAAGUCGAGCGGUAGAAAGUAGCUUGCUACUUUUGAGAGCGGCGGACGGGUGAGUAACGCGUAGGAACCUACCUAAUAGAUUGGGAUAGCCCAGAGAAAUUUGGAUUAAUACCGAAUACGCCCUACGGGGGAAAGCAGGGGAUCUUCGGACCUUGCGCUAUUAGAUGGGCCUGCGUGAGAUUAGCUUGUUGGUGAGGUAAGAGCUCACCAAGGCGACGAUCUCUAGCUGGUCUGAGAGGAUGAUCAGCCACACUGGAACUGAGACACGGUCCAGACUCCUACGGGAGGCAGCAGUGGGGAAUAUUGCACAAUGGGCGAAAGCCUGAUGCAGCCAUGCCGCGUGUGUGAAGAAGGCCUUAGGGUUGUAAAGCACUUUCAGUAGGGAGGAAAGGUUGCGUGUUAAUAGCACGUAGCUGUGACGUUACCUACAGAAGAAGGACCGGCUAACUCCGUGCCAGCAGCCGCGGUAAUACGGAGGGUCCGAGCGUUAAUCGGAAUUACUGGGCGUAAAGCGUACGUAGGUGGUUCGUUAAGUUGGAUGUGAAAGCCCAGGGCUCAACCUUGGAACUGCAUUCAAAACUGGCGAACUAAAGUAUUGGUAGAGGUGAGUUGGAAUUCCCUGUGUAGCGGUGAAAUGCGUAGAGAUGGGGAGGAACAUCAAUGGCGAAGGCGACUCACUGGACCAAUACUUGACACUGAGGUACGA